rnacentral:rRNA from 1 species
AGUGAACGCUGGCGGUAGGCCUAACACAUGCAAGUCGAACGGCAGCACAGUAAGAGCUUGCUCUUACGGGUGGCGAGUGGCGUACGGGUGAGGUAUACAUCGGAAUCUACUUUUUCGUGGGGGAUAACGUAGGGAAACUUACGCUAAUACCGCAUACGACCUACGGGUGAAAGCAGGGGAUCUUCGGACCUUGCGCGAUUGAAUGAGCCGAUGUCGGAUUAGCUAGUUGGCGGGGUAAAGGCCCACCAAGGCGACGAUCCGUAGCUGGUGUGAGAGGAUGAUCGGCCACACUGGAACUGAGACACGGUCCAGACUCCUACGGGAGGCAGCAGUGGGGAAUAUUGGACAAUGGGGGCAAGCCUGAUCCAGCCAUACCGCGUGGGUGAAGAAGGCCUUCGGGUUGUAAAGCCCUUUUGUUGGGAAAGAAAAGCAGCAGGUUAAGACCACGCUGUUCUGACGGUACCCAAAGAAGAAGCACCGGCUAACUUCGUG